AUAAGGCCUUUACGGCUUGUGAUUUGAAUCAAUCGGGUGAUGUCUCCCGAAGUGAAUUAUAUAGCAGUUUGCUGUAUGUGCAUAUCACAUUGGCACGCUAUG
rnacentral:ribozyme from 1 species